rnacentral:rRNA from 1 species
UACGGAGGGGGGCUAGCGUUGUCCGAAGUUACUGGGCGUAAAGCGCGCGUAGGCGGGUUGGUAAGUCCGCUGUGAAAGCCCGGAGCUUAACUCCGGAGGGUCGGUGGAUACUGCCAGUCUUGAAGGUGCUAGGGGGGAGAUGGAAUUACCGGUGUAGCGGUGAAAUGCGUAGAUAUCGGUAGGAACACCAGUGGCGAAGGCGGUCUCCUGGGGCAUUCUUGACGCUGAGGCGCGAAAGCUAGGGGAGCAAACAGG